rnacentral:rRNA from 1 species
AGCGAACGCUGGCGGCAGGCUUAACACAUGCAAGUCGAGCGGGCAUAGCAAUAUGUCAGCGGCAGACGGGUGAGUAACGCGUGGGAACGUACCUUUUGGUUCGGAACAACUGAGGGAAACUUCAGCUAAUACCGGAUAAGCCCUUACGGGGAAAGAUUUAUCGCCGAAAGAUCGGCCCGCGUCUGAUUAGCUAGUUGGUGAGGUAAUGGCUCACCAAGGCGACGAUCAGUAGCUGGUCUGAGAGGAUGAUCAGCCACAUUGGGACUGAGACACGGCCCAAAAUGGGACGCAGGGGUGGAGUAGAGAGUAUUAUACGCGGAGGGCAAGCGUAACCAAGCCGUGCGGGGGAAGAGGGGAAGGGGGUAGGAUUCUGAAGCUGCCUUGGGCGGAGAGUUAGUGACGGUACCGGAAGAAUAAGCCCCGGCUAACUUCGUG